CGCCUCUUGAUCAACAAAUAUAAGAGGUCCCGCCUGCCCAGUGAUCAAUUUUAACGGCCGCGGUAUCAUGACCGUGCAAAGGUAGCGUAAUCACUUGUCUUUUAAAUAAAGACCUGUAUGAAAGGCAAAACGAAAACUUAACUGUCUCUUUAAUCCAAUCAGUAAAAUUAGUCUCCCCGUGCAGAAACGAGGAUAAUAGUAUAAGACGAGAAGACCCUAUGGAGCUUUAAACAUAAGAUUAAUUAUAUUCCCACCAUAACCUACAGGCAAACAAUAUAGACGUAUAAUAAUAAUCUAAGUUUUUGGUUGGGGCGACCACGGAAGAAAAAAUAUCCUCCGAGAUAACAAUUUAGAAUUACACUUCAAAACCUAGAACAUUUAUUAUAAAUGACCCACUAAGUGAUCAACGAACCAAGUUACCCUAGGGAUAACAGCGCAAUCCUUUCUAAGAGUUCCUAUCGACGAAUGGGUUUACGACCUCGAUGUUGGAUCAGGGCACCCCAAUGGUGCAGUCGCUAUUAAAGGUUCGUUUGUUCAACGAUUAAAGUCCU
rnacentral:rRNA from 1 species